CCUACGGGGUGCAGCAGUGAGGAAUAUUGGUCAAUGGACGAGAGUCUGAACCAGCCAAGUAGCGUGAAUGAUGACUGCCCUAUGGGUUGUAAACUUCUUUUAUAUGGGAAUAAAAUGUUCCACGUGUGGGAUUUUGUAUGUACCAUAUGAAUACGGAUCGGCUAACUCCGUGCCAGCAGCCGCGGUAAUACGGAGGAUCCGAGCGUUAUCCGGAUUUAUUGGGUUUAAAGGGAGCGUAGGUGGAUUGUUAAGUCAGUUGUGAAAGUGUGCGGCUCAACCGUAAAAGUGCAGUUGAAACUGGCAGUCUUGAGUACAGUAGAGGUGGGCGGAAGUCGUGGUGUAGCGGUGAAAUGCUUAGAUAUCACGAAGAACUCCGAUUGCGAAGGCAGUUCACUGGACUGCAACUGACACUGAGGUUCGAAAGUGUGGGUAGCAAACAGGAUUAGAUACCCUAGUAGUC
rnacentral:rRNA from 1 species